UACGAGAGGCCCAAACGUUAUUCGGAAUUACUGGGCUUAAAGAGUUCGUAGGCGGCGCAGAAAGUAGGGUGUGAAAGCCCUCGGCUCAACCGAGGAAUUGCGCUCUAAACUACUGUGCUUGAGGAAGCUAGAGGUGAGCGGAACUGAUGGUGGAGCGGUGAAAUGCGUUGAUAUCAUCAGGAACACCGGGAGGCGAAGGCGGCUCACUGGGGCUUUUCUGACGCUGAGGAACGAAAGCGUGGGGAGCGAACAGG
rnacentral:rRNA from 1 species